UGCAAUUCACCUCCUCCGACUGAACUGCUCGGUAUCCUCAGCAAUAUCUGAGAGAAACCCUAGGACCCUGAGGCAUAAGAAACAUCUACUACACUAAAAAGCCAAGCUCAAUAGAAACGGACACUAUUCUGCUCUGGCAAUGGUCACAGUGACAACAUCUGUGCCUUGCUGUCUUCAGUCAGAACUUACUGAUUGGAGUUGUGGUCAUCAGAUGAUAGACCGGCGAGAGAGAAGCACCCAGACACAAAGGAACCCAUUGGAACACGUGUAACUAAACUGGCCAGAUGCUAAGUAUAUUCCACACUUGGAUUUCCCAAAGAGAGAAUGCCACCACCACCACCAUGAAACUGCUAAGAAUGGGACUAGUACCUUCCCC